AGAGUUUGAUCAUGGCUCAGAGUGAACGCUGGCGGCGUGCCUAAUACAUGCAAGUCGAACGAUGAAGCUCUAGCUUGCUAGAGUGGAUUAGUGGCGCACGGGUGAGUAAUGUGUAGCUAAUCUGCCCUAUAGAAGGGGACAACAGUUGGAAACGACUGCUAAUACCCUAUACUCCGCUUUAACAUAAGUUAAAUCGGGAAAGUUUUUCGCUAUAGGAUGAGGCUACAUUGUAUCAGCUAGUUGGUAAGGUAAAGGCCUACCGAGGCGAUGAUGCAUAGCCGACCUGAGAGGGUGAUCGGCCACAUUGGGACUGAGACACGGCCCAAACUCCUACGGGAGGCAGCAGUAGGGAAUCUUCGGCAAUGGACGAAAGUCUGACCGAGCAACGCCGCGUGAGUGAAGAAGGUUUUCGGAUCGUAAAGCUCUGUUGUUAGAGAAGAACAAGUAGAAUAGUAACUGAUUCUACCUUGACGGUAUCUAACCAGAAAGCCACGGCUAACUACGUGCCAGCAGCCGCGGUAAUACGUAGGUGGCAAGCGUUGUCCGGAUUUAUUGGGCGUAAAGCGAGCGCAGGCGGUCUUUUAAGUCUGAUGUGAAAGCCUCCGGCUUAACCGGAGAGGGUCAUUGGAAACUGGGAGACUUGAGUGCAGAAGAGGAAAGUGGAACUCCAUGUGUAGCGGUGGAAUGCGUAGAUAUAUGGAAGAACACCAGUGGCGAAGGCGGCUUUCUGGUCUGUAACUGACGCUGAGGCUCGAAAGCGUGGGGAGCAAACAGGAUUAGAUACCCUGGUAGU
rnacentral:rRNA from 1 species